GGAAGAGAUGUGGGUGGGAAGCGAGAGCUUAGCCAAUGGAAAUAAAGUCCUCCCCCUACACACACACACUGAACAGGGAGAGAGAACAGAAAGCCAGCGAGGCCGCUUGCAGCCGGCUAACAGCGCCCGAUGCACAAGGCUGCCCGCUUUGCCGAGCCGAGGGACGGCGGAGCGGCGCUGCUUUCCCAUUGCUUGAUUUUUCUGCUCCGAUGUUGCUAGCAGCUGGAUUCGAGCAUCCUCCCAGCCCUGUUUUGGACAAGGCUCCAGAUGCUGCCAGUCUCAGCCCUCGGAGAAAGCUGGGAGAGAGGAGGCAGGGGAGUGCCGGAGGGAGAGAAGCAAAAGCCAGCGGGAGAAGCAAAGAGGGAAAGAGAUGCAGGGCCCCGCGCACGCACCGACACGGAGCAGCCGGCAGCAAGCCAGCUGCCUUCUCUUCCCUCAGACAGCAGCUGAGGCAAAAGUUAAGGAAGGGCAGGACUUGGUGGGUAGCUGCUGCAGAAAGGGAGAAUGGCUCUAGAGAACUGCGGGGUGCAGUCGGGGGGGGGCACGUUUCUUCUUGUCCUUUCUCGUUUCUUCCCCUCUCGCUUUCCGUGAGAGCCUGCCCGCUUCGGGACCCCCUGGCACUGCAGACGCUCCAGAGGAGAGAGUAACUCCUCAGCCACCGCCUCUGUGACUUGUCUCCUCCAGGGAGGCGCAGGGAGAGGGGGCUGCUUCCGAGGAACCUCAGGUUGCUGCUGGGAUGAUGGUGAUGUUCAUGAGUCAUUAAUCAAUCAAGCCUCUUCCAGAGUGCAAGGAGGAAGCCAAGAAGCUGCCUCUCUAUCCCCAGCCGGAGGGUUUCUAAGGGCUCACCCAGCCGCACGUGGAAUUUCCAGUGGUUUUCCUUCCUUUGAAUGUACACGUGAAAGGCACCGGAGCUGAGUCAGUGAGGGGAGGGGCACCCACCAGUGGUCCCCACAGCAACCACCUCCGGAACCUCACCAAGCGGGCCACAACAACCAGCUCAGCACAGAACGCCAUGGGCCGAGUGAGCCGGCGGGACAAGGUCUCCUGCUCCAUUGCACAAUGGAGCCUGUGCAGUUCAAUAUGUUGAGCUGGACCUCACUUUUGUCUUUAAGGCAGGAAGCAACACCAGGAGUUGAUGCAGAGGAAGGGGCAUUUUGCUGCAGGGAUAGGGUGUCAAGAUGGGCAGGGAAAAGGGGAGACAGAGGUUGGGCAGGGGGGAGAUGGAGGCAAAACACUUCCUGUCCUGAGCUAACUGCAUGAGCUGCUGCAGCUUGAGCUAAAGCUAGCUAGCUGUGUCUGUAACAGGUACCCCGCUUCUACGGCGCGGGCACCCUCGCCAGUAUGUUACACCAGCUCCUUCCUGCAGGUUACUCAUGCCCGUGCUUCUGAACUUGGACUCCCCCAUUCCAGACAACCCCUCCUAAAGCUGAUUCCCCACGGGGCUAAAACCCUCCCCCCGGGACAACAUUAACCACGGGAACGCAGUGUUCUGGUUUAUCACCCUGGGUGCUGUGGUAAUAAGGGUGUGCCCUGAAAAAGCCAUAACUCUUUGCACGGCUUGAGCUGGCUUGAGGAUUGGGCCAAAAGAAAUCUGAUGAGGUUCAACAAGGACAAGUGCAGAGUCCUGCACUUAGGACGGGAAGAACCCAAUGCACCGCUACAGACUAGGGACCGAAUGGCUCGGCAGCAGUUCUGCAGAAAAGGACCUAGAGGUUACAGUGGACGAGAAGCUGGAUAUGAGUCAACAGUGUGCCCUUGUUGCCAAGAAGGCCAAUGGCAUUUUGGGAUGUAUAAGUAGGGGCAUUGCCAGCAGAUUGAGGGAUGUGAUCGUUCCCCUCCAUUCGACAUUGGUGAGCCCUCAUCUGGAGUACUGUGUCCAGUUUUGGGCCCCACGCUACAAGAAGGAUGUGGAAAAAUUGGAAAGCAUCCAGUGGAGGGCAACAAAAAUGAUUAGGGGACUGGAACACAUGACUUAUGAGGAGAGGCUGAGGGAACUGGGAUUGUUUAGUCUGCAGAAGAGAAGAAUGAGGGGGGAUUUGAUAGCUGCUUUCAACUACCUGAAGAGGGGUUCCAAAGAGGAUGGCUCUAGACUGUUCUCAAUUGUAGCAGAUGACAGAACGAGGAAUAAUGGUCUCAGGUGUCAGUGGGGGAGGUUUAGGUUGGAUAGUAGGAAAAACUUUUUUACUAGGAGGGUGGUGAAACACUGGAAUGGGUUACCUAGGGAGGUGGUGGAAUCUCCUUCCUUUGAGGUUUUCAAGGUCAGGCUUGACAAAGCCCUGGCUGGGAUGAUUUAGUUGGGGAUUGGUCCUGCUUUGAGCAGGGGGUUGGGCUAGAUGACCUCCUGAGGUCCCUUCCACCCCUGAUGUUCUAUGAUUCUAUGACCCCCUCCAAUGCAAGGAUCUCAGAGCACUUUACAAGAACAGUCCAGAGAGGUGCUGUAGGUAUUAGCUUCUCUGCCUUGCAGACAGAAACCUGAGACUCGAGGGCCCAGCUCCUCAAAGUAUUUAGGCACCCAACUCCCAUUGACAUCAGUGGGAGCUAGGGGCCAAAAUACCUUUUCAGCUCUGGGACUAGGAGUUUAAGUGACUGGCCCAAGGUCACAUGCAGCAUCAGCGACAGAGCCGGCAAGAGAAUGCUGGAGUCCUGUUAUGUAGUCCCUUGUGCAAACCACACUCUCUGAUGAGAGUAGUUCAUGGAGGCAAAUGGCACCGGAAACCUCUGCACUGGAGAGCGCACACCAGGGCAGAAGGUACCUGACUGUCCAAGUGAGCCAGCCUCCCCCCGCACACACACCAUACAGUUCCUUGCAACCAGGAAAUGCCUCCUACCCUGCAGGCUGGGAGCCGUGAUAGACACAUAUCACAGCAGUUCACAGCUAGUCACACUGUCUCGCAAGGAUCUACCCAGGCUACCCACAUGGCCCCCAGUACCCCGCUGCAAUUUAACAUGUUCACUCUCUGAACACCCUGGGAGGGAGGCAGCAUCUUUAGCUGGACAUAGAAACCUUUAACGUUAGAUAUCCCAAUGUGGUGUGAUAAUAAGGCAGAUUGUUAGACCCAUGGAAAAAAAAACCCAGCAGAUUCAAUUAUUUUUCUAGCAACUGGCAAAUACAGAAGGAAACCAGCCAGGCCUGUCAAAUACUGGCCAGAUGGUAACCCUACCAUCAGAGCACAAACCCAGUCCUCUCUGGAGGGCGCCUGCCUUAUCAGCUGCUCAAAGCUUUUUAUGGCAGCCCCAUAGACUGUGUAUUAUAGACAGUAAGGGUGAAAACCCAAGACUUAAGCGUGGCCUAGGGCCUGUGCUCUGACUCUGUGCAAGGGGGAAUUUCACCCUAAAUUGUCACCUAUAAGGAGCUCCUCUGUGACACACCCCAUCAGAAGACUCCCCCGCCUGCUCAGGGCUCAGGGCACCAACAAGCUCCCUUGUAACGAUGGCCCAUGCUGUAGCAAGCGCUCCAGAAUGAUACACACAGCCCAUCGCCAGCUCUGUCUUGGGGGCAACCAGCCACUGUUUUAGAAACUCUCUGCUGUGGCUUGAUUUCCUCACCCAGCAGCCCAGCUGUUGCUAUCCCAGCUGAUUGACCGAGGAGGGUGGCCAUGAGGAAUGAGGAGGCAGCUGCUGAUCAGACCCCUGCUGUUGAUUUGUGAGGGGGAUUUGAAAAGCAUGGGGCAGAGUUACCUUCUUUGUUUCCAAACCUUUCCAUGGGUGUGGCCAGACGACCUCCUGGAUCCGCCCCAUUUUUCUCCCCACCCAUCUACCAGGAGUUGUAGUAGUGGGGGGUUAGCUUUGCAGGCCAGAAGUCUGGGGAAAGGGCCUUGCAAAAGCCUAUGUCUUGUUAUACAGAAGCAGUUGGGAACUAAUAAAGAGUGUCUCUUUCAA